rnacentral:tRNA from 1 species
UCCUGGCUGGCUCAGUCGGUGGGGCAUGAGACUCUUGAUCUUGGGGUUGUGAGUUUGAGCCCCACGUUGGGUG